AACGAACGCUGGCGGCAGGCCUCAAACAUGCAAGUCUAGGGGGUGCAGCAAUGCAUCACCGGCGGACGGGUGCGUAACGCGUGGGAAUAUACCUUUUGGUUCGGAACAACUGCGGGAAACUGCAGCUAAUACCGAAUGUGCCCUAACGGGGAAAGAUUUAUCGCCAAAGGAUUAGCCCGCGUAGGAUUAGCUAGUUGGUGAGGUAAUGGCUCACCAAGGCUCCGAUCCUUAGCGUUCUGAGAGGAAGAUCAGCCACACUGGGACUGAGACACGGCCCAGACUCCUACGGGAGGCAGCAGUUGGGAAUCUUGGACAAUGGGCGCAAGCCUGAUCCAGCCAUGCCGCGUG
rnacentral:rRNA from 1 species